UACGAAGGGAGCUAGCGUUGUUCGGAAUCACUGGGCGUAAAGCGCACGUAGGCGGAUGUGUCAGUCAGGGGUGAAAUCCCGGAGCUCAACUUCGGAACUGCCUUUGAUACUGGCAAUCUAGAGUCCGGAAGAGGUUAGUGGAAUUCCCAGUGUAGAGGUGAAAUUCGUAGAUAUUGGGAAGAACACCAGUGGCGAAGGCGGCUAACUGGUCCGGUACUGACGCUGAGGUGCGAAAGCGUGAGGAGCAAACAGG
rnacentral:rRNA from 1 species